rnacentral:rRNA from 1 species
AUUGAACGCUGGCGGCAUGCCUUACACAUGCAAGUCGAACGGCAGCACGGGAGCAAUCCUGGUGGCGAGUGGCGAACGGGUGAGUAAUGUAUCGGAACGUACCUUUCAGUGGGGGAUAACGUAGCGAAAGUUACGCUAAUACCGCAUAUUCUGUGAGCAGGAAAGCAGGGGAUCGCAAGACCUUGCGCUGAUUGAGCGGCCGAUAUCAGAUUAGCUAGUUGGUGAGGUAAAGGCUCACCAAGGCGACGAUCUGUAGCGGGUCUGAGAGGAUGAUCCGCCACACUGGAACUUAGACACGGUCCGACG